rnacentral:rRNA from 1 species
CCUACGGGAGGCAGCAGUGGGGAAUAUUGGGCAAUGGGCGCAAGCCUGACCCAGCAACGCCGCGUGAAGGAAGAAGGUCUUCGGAUCGUAAACCUCUGUCAGCAGGGAAGAACGGUCACUGUGCUAAUCAGCAGUGAAUUGACGGUACCUGCAAAGGAAGAACCGGCUAACUCCGUGCCAGCAGCCGCGGUAAUACGGAGGGUGCGAGCGUUAAUCGGAAUUAUUGGGCGUAAAGCGCUCGUAGGCGGUCUGUUAAGUCAAGGGUGAAAUCCCUGGGCUCAACGUGGGAACUGCCUUUGAUACUGGCAGACUGGAGUGUGUGAGAGGAUAGUGGAAUUAGAGGUGUAGGAGUGAAAUCCGUAGAUAUCUGGAGGAACAUCAGUGGCGAAGGCAGCUAUCUGGCACAUAACUGACGCUGAGGAGCGAAAGCGUGGGUAGCAAACAGGAUUAGAUACCCCUGUAGUC